UUUUAGACAUGGAUUCAUCAAUGAGCAUUUGCCGCACUGUACAUGGGAGAAGUCAGGAGUAAAGGGAUUAUGUUGCAAGUAAUGAAAACUCAACUAAAAAUGGCUUAAGAGAAAGAAAAGGAAGAUAUUGAUUCAUAAUACUGGAAAGUCCAGGGUCAAAAUGUCUUCAGAUGUCAACGCAAAAAUUGCACAGAUAAAAUCAAGUAGGCAAGGAAGUCUUUAUUCAAAGCUAUUACAAUGGGAAAGAGGCCAGAACUAAAAUCUGAAUUUACCUCCCCUGAAACAGAGUAGGAGAGUUUUUCAGAGCUGAAGUGUAGGGGGAUCACAAGUUUCUUAUUUAAGUUGAAAGAAUUAGCAAAUGAUGCAAUUCACUCACAUGGAUUGAGAAUAUGGGAGACAGCAGUUCUUCAAAGAAGAAUCAGAUGCUGCUUCAGACCUUGACUAUAAAGCCCAAAACAUAAGUAAAGAAAAACAAAACAACCCCAUAGAAUAAACAAGGAUAUAAAAACUUUAAAAGUCUACUAUUCAU